GGGGAUUUAGCUCAGCGGCAUAAGCGCCUGCCUUGCAAGCAGGCAGUCUCAAGUUAGAUCCCCG
rnacentral:tRNA from 1 species